UAAUACGUAGGGUGCAAGCGUUAUCCGGAAUUAUUGGGCGUAAAGAGCUCGUAGGCGGUUUGUCGCGUCUGCUGUGAAAAUCUGAGGCUCAACCUCGGACUUGCAGUGGGUACGGGCAGACUAGAGUGCGGUAGGGGAGAAGGGAAUUCCUGGUGUAGCGGUGGAAUGCGCAGAUAUCAGGAGGAACACCAAUGGCGAAGGCACUUCUCUGGGCCGUAACUGACGCUGAGGAGCGAAAGCGUGGGGAGCGAACAGGAUUAGAUACCCUGGUAGUCCACGCCGUAAACGUUGGGCGCUAGAUGUGGGUCACAUUCCACGUGAUCCGUGUCGCAGCUAACGCAUUAAGCGCCCCGCCAGGGAGUACGGCCGCAAGGCUAAAACUCAAAGGAAUUGACGGGGACCCGCACAAGCGGUGGAUGAUGUGGAUUAAUUCGAUGCAACGCGAAAAACCUUACCUACCCUUGACAUGUCACUAACGAAGUAGAGAUACAUUAGGUGCUC
rnacentral:rRNA from 1 species